rnacentral:rRNA from 1 species
GAUGAACGCUGGCGGCGUGCCUAAUACAUGCCAGUCGAGCGAACGGACGAGAAGCUUGCUUCUCUGAUGUUAGCGGCGGACGGGUGAGUAACACGUGGAUAACCUACCUAUAAGACUGGGAUAACUUCGGGAAACCGGAGCUAAUACCGGAUAAUAUUUUGAACCGCAUGGUUCAAAAGUGAAAGACGGUCUUGCUGUCACUUAUAGAUGGAUCCGCGCUGCAUUAGCUAGUUGGUAAGGUAACGGCUUACCAAGGCAACGAUGCAUAGCCGACCUGAGAGGGUGAUCGGCCACACUGGAACUGAGACACGGUCCAGACUCCUACGGGAGGCAGCAGUAGGGAAUCUUCCGCAAUGGGCGAAAGCCUGACGGAGCAACGCCGCGUGAGUGAUGAAGGUCUUCGGAUCGUAAAACUCUGUUAUUAGGGAAGAACAUAUGUGUAAGUAACUGUGUACAUCUUGACGGUACCUAAUCAGAAAGCCACGGCUAACUACGUG